UACGGAGGGUGCAAGCGUUAUCCGGAAUCACUGGGUUUAAAGGGUGCGUAGGCGGCGGUGUAAGUCAGUUGUGAAAUGCCCCGGCUUAACCGGCGGAAGUGCGAUUUAUACUGCAUCACUUGAAUCAGGAUGAGGCAGGCGGAAUGAGGCGUGUAGCGGUGAAAUGCUUAGAUAUGCCAUAGAACACCAAUUGGGAAGGCAGCAUGCUGGGCCUGAAGUGAAGCUGAGGCACGAAAGCGUGGGGAGCAAACAGG
rnacentral:rRNA from 1 species